UACGUAGGAGGCGAGCGUUGUCCGGAUUUACUGGGCGUAAAGAGCGUGUAGGCGGUACGAUAAGUCUGCUGUGAAAGCGCCCGGCUUAACCGGGCGAGGUCGGUGGAUACUGUCGCACUAGAGGACGGUAGAGGGGGGUGGAAUUCCCGGUGUAGUGGUGAAAUGCGUAGAUAUCGGGAGGAACACCAGUGGCGAAGGCGGCCCCCUGGGCCGCUCCUGACGCUGAGACGCGAAGGCCAGGGUAGCGAACGGG
rnacentral:rRNA from 1 species